UACGAUUCUCAAAAGAAGGCUGUAGUGGAGAGGGUUCAAGAGAGCAGCUCUAGAAAGGUGGAAUUUGCAGAUCUUUUCUUUACAAGAUUUAAAAGUUUUCCAAGAGAACAAAAUUAUUUCUUUUGGAAAAUCAAGUGAAAAACUUCUGUUCCCUUGGAUGCAAUAGCAGAUGCUGGAGGUGCCUCAUUUCUUGCUGAUACUGAGCAGUUUUCCCGGCAAACUCUCUCUUCUGCUCAGUCAUUUUGAAACUGAUAUCUCCAAGCUUUCCAGCUGCUUUCUUUUUAUAUACCUGUAAGAGUUGAAGAUCAUAGGAAAAAUAUGAUUAUGGCAAAAAUAAGGACAAUUGCCACCAACAAACAGCUAAAGAUGCUCAUUUGCAGUUAAAUCUUCACAUCAGUGAUUCCUUGCUUAAAUAUAUCAGCUUUUAGGCUCCCAGAGAAGUCUUCAAAACCCAGAGUUAGAUACUUAUAUACUUGUAAUGCUGCGGGUAAAGGUCUUCCUAUUAGGCCACCUUAGCUGGAUUACCUGACUACAAGAUAUCUACAGAAGUCUAACUUUCUGCCUAGGUCUUCAUUCUCCUUCACCAAUUCUUCAACACGUGCUUUAAAGUUCUUCAUAUCCUCCUGGAAGACAAAGGAAUCCACAUAAAAAUCUUUAAAGAGUGAAGUUCAGCAAGAAUGUAAUGCCAUGUGAUUUAACACACUGAGACACUGAUGACCAAAUGAGUCCAAACUCAGGAAAAAUUUCAAAAGCAAAAUAUACGUGGUCAAGAAUUUGAAGAAAAAGCAAUGUUAGCAAUGGAAUUACUGGCCAUUUUUGAAGAAGAUUCCUUGGUGGCAACAUUAAUUUUCUUCUAAGUGAUUGUGCACUAUCAGCUCUUUAUAAUGCUUUGUUUUUUCCAAAAUGCAUCAUAAAUAAAUCUUCUUAUCAGUCUUACCUUCAAAUUCAAACCAAGACGUUCAUUUUCUGUUAAAGCAAAACAGAUCUUUGAGUCAAUUAAAAAUUGAAGCAUUUGCAAGUCCAUAAAUUAUAAGGAUACAUAUGGAUAUGUAAGGAUACAUAUUACAUACUGUAAAUAAUUAUAAAAAAAAUCUUCCAGAAAGGACAAAUUAGAUAACUAGCUUUCAAUUUUAUCUGUCAUAGUCUAUGAUGAUACUGAUGUUAGACCUUUACUUUACCUCACAUGGUAAAAAUACAGUUGUGGAAGAAAUGAAGUUGUAUUACUAUCUUCCUGUCAUGUAUUCUGCUAUUCUUUUAGAAUUUGGAAUGAGAAACAAAUGAAAGAUUUUCAUUGAUUUUACUGGGCUUAGGCCCUACUGCAUCUCUGAACAAAGACAACUGCAAAUAUGACAGUUUCCAAGAUCUGCAGCAUCUGCUGUGAAAAAGAGGAAUUAGAAAUGGUUUCUACAUCCUAUUUUCUUCAGUUUAAUGCAGCCCAUUCCCAAAUGAUUUAAUCAACGCAAUCCAUUCUUGGUAGGUAUUGUUUUCUAUAAAGCUUUGGAAAUAACUCCACUGAAAUAACCGUGAAAUAACACUGGGAUCCAGCAUGGAUACAAGUUAGUAAAACAAAGAUUUUCAAAAAUGGGUCAGUUAUGCUGCUUCUUUCUUUCCGAUAGCUAUUACAGUGUUGCCAUCCUCUGUAAAAACUGCAUAUUGCAGCUCUAGGACAAAUGCUAUUAUUUCUCCUUUUCCCAGUUCUGAAAUGAUAGCAGACAUGACAAUUAUGCAAUAAAACUCCUAUGCAGUUAAGAUUGUUCUUGCUUACUCAUCAUGGCUUUUUCUUCCACAGUAUUCUAUUCUUGCUGUGGUUAUAAGAAAAUAGCUUAGUGACAGGAUCCAAGUAUGUACCAAAAGCUCUCUGAUCUAAUAAAAUUAAUCAUUGCAGAAAACUGAUUUGAGAAGCUUAGUGAUUCUGAGGUUAAGGUGAUAGCCUGAGACUGAGGAUCAUGUUCAGCUUUCUAUUCAGUCAGAACCUUUCUGUGUGAUCUACA